GAUGAACGCUGGCGGCGUGCCUUACACAUGCAAGUCGAACGGUAACGGGCCUUCGGGUGCCGACGAGUGGCGAACGGGUGAGUAAUGUAUCGGAACGUACCUUUCAGUGGGGGAUAACGUAGCGAAAGUUACGCUAAUACCGCAUAUUCUGUGCGCAGGAAAGCAGGGGACCUUCGGGCCUUGCGCUGAUUGAGCGGCCGAUAUCAGAUUAGAUAGUUGGUGAGGUAAAGGCUCACCAAGGCGACGAUCUGUAGCGGGUCUGAGAGGAUGAUCCGCCACACUGGAACUGAGACACGGUCCAGACUCCUACGGGAGGCAGCAGUGGGGAAUUUUGGACAAUGGGGGCAACCCUGAUCCAGCCAUGCCGCGUGAGUGAAGAAGGCCUUCGGGUUGUAAAGCUCUUUCGGCCGGGAAGAAAUCGUAUCAGCUAAUACCUGGUGCGGAUGACGGUACCUGAAGAAUAAGCACCGGCUAACUACGUGCCAGCCGCCGCCGUAAGAC
rnacentral:rRNA from 1 species